CUUGCACUCCUGAUGGUUAGCGGCGGACGGGUGAGUAACACGUAGGCAACCUGCCCCACAGACUGGGAUAACUACCGGAAACGGUAGCUAAUACCGGAUAAUUCCUUUUGGCUCCUGCUAAAAGGAUGAAAGACGGAGCAAUCUGUCACUGCGGGAUGGGCCUGCGGCGCAUUAGCUAGUUGGUGAGGUAACGGCUCACCAAGGCGACGAUGCGUAGCCGACCUGAGAGGGUGAACGGCCA
rnacentral:rRNA from 1 species